CAAGGAAAGGAGAACCCACACUGAAGAAACUCAUGUUGCAGGGGCCUCUUCCCCCUCAGUUCCCGGCUCGGUGAUGGUGGAGGCCCUCACUGCUGGCGCGAUCUGUCCACACGAUCCGUCCGUGGUGUAAACACCAGUUCCAGAUGCUGUCCCAGGUGCUUGUGACCCUCUUUCCAAACAUCAAGAUUCAAAAUGUAUUAUCCACAAUGAUGACUCAGUUGCCCUGUGAAAAUUACUCCAGUAGAGAAGCAAACCCUGCUGGAGCACAGAGGCCCUGAGCCGCUGUGGAGAGGGAGACGGACGCAUAAAGGAGGGAUUCCAAGCUCCAAGCAGUUCUGUUGCUCCAGCCUUCACCCUCCUCUAGGUGAGGUGACCGGCUGCUUCCCAGCAGCCCAGAGGUGCCGUCAAGGCUGUUAGCCAGAGGCCGCCAUGAACGCCCCUGACUUGCUGCAGCACGGAGCCCCCCACCAUCGACGGUGCUGGGGAGUCGGGGAGGACGGGCGCGACUUGGCAGCUUCAUGGAGGUUUCGGGGAGCAUUCACGGCAACUGCUGCACUCUGUUCGAUGCUGUCAGGAAGCAGGGGUGACUCUGAGACUUACUAUCUCAGUUCUUAUCUAGAAGGUGAGAAAAACGGAGCAAGGUGCAAGGUGUCAUUGGUAGAAAGUGGCAGUCACUCACAUCCAGCAGGAUGGGGAGUGUUGGUCGUCUGGGGGAGGUGGGCACUGCUCCUGCCUGUGUGCAGAGGGGACCCUGCUCUUGUCCUGUCCCCUCAGUCACAGGACAGCCUUGUCUGUGGGGCCGUCAAGUCCAACAGGAGCCUUCCAGUGCCUCGCUGUGCGUGCUCAGGGGCUGCCUCGAUCUUUCUUGGUGCCUUUUGAGGUGACAGGAAGAUAGCCGUGUAGGCCACGGUGAGAGGCAGGCAUACCAGACUCAGUGCCUUUAACCGGGCAGACGCUGACCUUCCAGUUCAGCUGGAGGAAGACUCCAUGUGUUACUCAAAGCCAAUCACCACCCUCUGCUGGUUUCUUGAUUCCUCUGCCUUGAAUGUUUUUCUUUUUUUCUUUUAGAGACAGGGUUUCACUCUGUUGCUCAGGCUGGAGUGCAG